rnacentral:rRNA from 1 species
GGGGAAUAUUGGACAAUGGGCGCAAGCCUGAUCCAGCAAUGCCGCGUGGGUGAAGAAGGCCUGCGGGUUGUAAAGCCCUUUAAGCGGGGAGGAACGCCGGAUCGCGAAUAGCGUUUCGGACUGACGUUACCCGCGGAAUAAGCACCGGCUAACUCCGUGCCAGCAGCCGCGGUAAUACGGGGGGUGCGAGCGUUAAUCGGAAUUACUGGGCGUAAAGCGUGCGUAGGCGGCGCAAUCAGUCAGCCGUGAAAGCCCCGGGCUUAACCUGGGAAUGGCGGUUGAGACGGUUGGGCUAGAGUGGGCUAGAGGAUCGUGGAACUCCCGGUGUAGCGGUGAAAUGCGUAGAGAUCGGGAAGAACACCGAUGGCGAAGGCAGCGGUCUGGGGCCACACUGACGCUGAGGCACGACGGCGUGGGGAGCAAAC